GGGUUCGUAGCUCAGCCAGGUAGAGCGUUUGGCUCUUAACCAAUCAGUGUAUUUCACUGGGUUAAAAUGUCGUGGGUCCGAAUCCCACCGAACCCG
rnacentral:tRNA from 1 species